rnacentral:rRNA from 1 species
GGGGCGUAUACAGGACUUCGUACGGGUGGUUGAUCGGCGUCGGAAGUGUAAUCUGGGGCCUUAACCCCGAGUGUUGCUUUCGAUACGGGUGAGCUCGUGGAAGGUAGGGGAGAAUGUAUUUCCUGGUUGAGCGGUGGAUUGAGCAGAUAUCAGGAAGAAACACCAGUGGCGAAGGCGGUUCUCUGGUCCUUUUCUGACGCUGAGGAGCGAAAGCGUGGGGAGCGAACAGGCUUAGAUACCUUGGUAGUCCACGCUGUAAACGGUGGGUACUAGGUGUGGGGUCCAUUCCACGGGUUCCGCGCCGUAGCUAACGCUUUAAGUACCCCGCGUGGGGAGUACGGCCGCAAGGAUAAAACUCAAAGUAAUUGACGGGGCCCCGCACAAGCGGCGGAGCAUGCGGAUUAAUUUGAUGCAACGCGUAGAACCUUACCUGGGUUUGACAUGGAUCGGGAGUGCUCAGAGAUGGGUGUGCCUCUUUUGGGGUCGGUUCACAGGUGGUGCAUGGCUGUCGUCAGCUCGUGUCGUGAGAUGUUGGGUUAAGUCCCGCAACGAGCGCAACCCUUGUUCACUGUUGCCAGCACGUUAUGGUGGGGACUCAGUGGAGACCGCCGGGGUCAACUCGGAGGAAGGUGGGGAUGACGUCAAGUCAUCAUGCCCCUUAUGUCCAGGGCUUCACGCAUGCUACAAUGGCUGGUACAGAGAGUGGCGAGCCUGUGAGGGUGAGCGAAUCUCGGAAAGCCGGUCUCAGUUCGGAUUGGGGUCUGCAACUCGACCUCAUGAAGUCGGAGUCGCUAGUAAUCGCAGAUCAGCAACGCUGCGGUGAAUACGUUCCCGGGGCUUGUACACACCGCCCGUCAAGUCAUGAAAGUUGGUAACACCCGAAGCCGGUGGCCUAACCGUGUGGGGAGCCGUCGAAGGGUGGAACCUGGAAUUU